CCUACGGGGGGCUGCAGUGGGGAAUAUUGCACAAUGGGGGAAACCCUGAUGCAGCAACGCCGCGUGAAGGAAGACGGUUUUCGGAUUGUAAACUUCUGUUCUUAGUGAAGAAUAAUGACGUUAGCUAAGGAUCACGCCCCGGCUAACUACGUGCCAGCAGCCGCGGUAAUACGUAGGUGGCAAGCGUUGUCCGGAAUUACUGGGUGUAAAGGGAGCGCAGGCGGUAAGCCAAGUCAGGUGUGAAAACUACGGGCUUAACUUGUAGACUGCAGUUGAAACUGGUUUGCUUGAGUGAAGUAGAGGUAGGCGGAAGUCCGGGUGUAGCGGUGAAAUGCGUAGAUAUACGGAGGAACACCGAUGGCGAAGGCGGCCAACUGGGCUUUAACUGACGCUGAGGCUCGAAAGUGUGGGGAGCAAACAGGAUUAGAUACCCCUGUAGUC
rnacentral:rRNA from 1 species